rnacentral:misc_RNA from 1 species
AACGCACGAGACCUGCGGACCUGCGGAAGGAUCAUUACCGAGUGAGGGCCCUCUGGGUCCAACCUCCCACCCGUGUUUAUCGUACCUUGUUGCUUCGGCGGGCCCGCCUCACGGCCGCCGGGGGGCACCUGCCCCCGGGCCCGCGCCCGCCGAAGACAUCAUUGAACUCUGUCUGAAGAUUGCAGUCUGAGUAGAUUAGCUAAAUCAGUUAAAACUUUUAACAACGGAUCUCUAGAUCGG